rnacentral:rRNA from 1 species
UACGGAGGAGGCAAGCGUUGUCCGGAAUCAUUGGGCGUAAAGCGCGCGUAGGUGGCCCCAUAAGUCCGCUGUGAAAGUCAAAGGCUCAACCUUUGAAAGCCGGUGGAUACUGUGGGACUAGAGUACGGAAGAGGCGAGUGGAAUUCCUGGUGUAGCGGUGGAAUGCGCAGAUAUCAGGAGGAACACCAAUAGCGAAGGCAGCUCGCUGGGACGUUACUGACACUGAGGCGCGAAAGCGUGGGGAGCGAACAGG